rnacentral:rRNA from 1 species
UACGAAGGGGGCUAGCGUUGUUCGGAAUUACUGGGCGUAAAGGGCGCGUAGGCGGCGUGUCAAGUCAGGCGUGAAAGCCCCGGGCUCAACCUGGGAACCGCGCUUGAGACUGGCAUGCUCGAGUUCGGGAGAGGAUGGUGGAAUUCCCAGUGUAGAGGUGAAAUUCGUAGAUAUUGGGAAGAACACCGAUGGCGAAGGCAGCCAUCUGGACCGACACUGACGCUGAGGCGCGAAAGCGUCGGGGAGCAAACAGG